AACGAACGCUGGCGGCAUGCCUAACACAUGCAAGUCGAACGAGACCUUCGGGUCUAGUGGCGCACGGGUGCGUAACGCGUUGGAACCUUCCCUUAGGUUCGGAAUAACUCCCCGAAAGGGGUGCUAAUACCGGAUAAUGUCUUCGGACCAAAGAUUUAUCGCCUUUGGAUGGGCCCGCGUUGGAUUAGCUAGUUGGUAGGGUAAAAGCCUACCAAGGCGACGAUCCAUAGCUGGUCUGAGAGGAUGAUCAGCCACACUGGGAAUGAGACACGGCCCAGACACCUACGGGAGGCAGAAGUGGGGAAUAUUGGAAAAUGGGCGAAAGCAUGAGACAGCAAUGCCGCGUGAGGGAUGAAGGGCUUAGGGUUGUAAAGCUAUUUUACCCGGGAUGAUAAUGACAGUACCGGGAGAAUAAGCUCCGGCUAACUCCGU
rnacentral:rRNA from 1 species